rnacentral:lncRNA from 1 species
AAUGAAGAAUAAUAGAAGUACUCGUCAUGAUGGACUAGCUACCUAUUGAGUUUUAUCAGAAAUUUUUGCUUAUAGUUUAUCAUGAUCUUCAUCUAACUUUUCCAUUAAUUAUAUCAAGGUAGAUUGGAUACUGCAUUAUUUAAUUGUGGAUUUCUCACUCCUAUUCCUAAUGUGUAGAUCCUAGUGAUUCAACAUUACACGCCGAUUUGUCCUCUCAACGUGUUAUUUAAAAUUUUACUAUCAUUAAGAAAAAUUGAGUUGUUGUUAAAAUUAAUAAAAUAUAUACGGCUUUGUUGUAUGAAAUGCUUAAGAAGAAGAAAAAGAUGGCGUUUUCUUUAAAAUAAAUCUUAAUAAGACAUACUAUGAGACUGAUAUUAUUUUUCUACAAAUGUAAAGUUAAAUAGAGGUAUAAUGUCAUAUGUGUGUCUUGGUUUAUUAUGAAAAGUAAAACUGAAUCUAAUCUCUUACCACUCCUGCACUGGGGAUCCUAUUUACUUUCUUCCUAAACCUCCACGUUUUUGCCUUUUUUCCCGCCGUGUCGUUCACGGCUGACCGGGCACAGCUUGGGCAUGUUUUGCAUUUCACUGUUUACAGUCUAUCCAAUGAUAUCUUUGUCUCCAUAAAAAUAUAUAUGGAUUUGUGCUACUGAUACAGUUUUAAACAUAACUUUACAUAGUCCUAUGCAUUGUGCUCUAGAUUAUGUUGAUAAAUCUUUUUCUUCAUAAUGUGCUUAGUUUGUAAAUAAUAAAAACGGGUGUUUCCUAAAUGAAGCAUACUAGACGUUCUCGUCCUUAUGGAUUACCUAUUGAGUUUUAUCAGAAUUUUU